ensembl:lncRNA
GGGAGCCCCGCAGCAGCGAGCGGGAAGCGUGCGGAGGGGGAAAGCGGCGUUGUUCUCCUCCCAGCGCUGCCCUGACGGGCGCCCUGCAGCCCUUCGCCACGCCCUCUGCCGUGGCGUGAGGUGGAAAGCCCGGGGAGGCAGCUCGGUACCCACGGCGCGGCUGAAUCUGCAGCGUAAUAGCCCACCUACAGAUUGACUUGACUUAGGGCUUCGUGAGCAGGGGCUGUGACUCGAGGUUCAGAUGUAGCGGUCCGAACGCCGCUGAUGCGGGAAGGGGAAAGGAGGUGGCAGCCCGGGCUCUGUCCCUCCGCCUCGCCCUACGAAGUGCCGGCGCUGCCUCUGGGAGCGGCGCUGUGGCAGCCGCGUGCCGCAGGGAGAGCGGACGGCGGCUCCCCUCCUCACGCAGCUGCCGCGCUCGGACGCGGCUGUGCCCUGUGGCAGCUCCUGCGUUAGCUGCCUGAGUGCCGUUGGUAGCGGUGAGCCGGCUCAGAUCCCAAGGGCAAGAAGCACAGGACUCGGCAGCCCCUUUCAAUGACAGUGAAGGGUGGCGUCGGCCUGCCGUCGCCCUGAUACUGGAGGCAUCGCGUUACACUGCGGUGCAAGCUGCCGCUGGGACAAGCGAUGCCUUUCUGCCCGUGCUGUCACGUACCCGGUCCUUCCCUCUCUUCCGCUCCAGCUGGUGUUGCUUUGACCUUGUGCAAACGCUUCAGGGAGAUCGUUCUUUUUUCUUUUGCGCUGAUAGCCGUCGUGUCAUGAAGGCUCCACUUGGUUCCAGGACGAGGCAGUCCGGCUGGCUGACUAGCUUACCUCAUUAGUGCUAGCGCUGCGGAUGGGUGAGACCGCGGGAGCUCCACGUAGUCCCUUCACUGGGCUGCGAGGUUAAGGCAGGUUUAAACUCUCAAUACAGGAGCUGCACCUCCCAGCAGGAGAACCGCUCCUCCUGCUGCAGUUUCACAGCAGUUUAAACCAAACGAACUUGGUGCUACAGUGGUCUCGUUUGCUUCUCGCGAAUCCUCUUUCCAAGGAGUUGUGUGCAGUCUUUCCCACCGACGUCUGUGUGACCUCGCACAAUAAGCGAUCAACGUCCACGGGCGCGGGGGAAGGCAUGAGCACAAGCAGCCCUUUGUCGGUUUUGGUGUGAGCUAACAAAUUUGGCAUCCCAUCCUUGCUUGGUCUGUAGGCACUGAAGUAAUAGGGACGAUUUAAAAGGCUAUAGCAGCAUGGAGGAACUGGAAAAAGAUUCAAAGUACUUGACUCAUCUGACCUGAAAAGUGAAAACCAGUCAGCACACAGUGUACUGCACAGCAGUAUCAAGGGACGUAUGUAGCUGGGUAUAUUUUGGCCUUGGACUGGCAAAAUCUCUACUCUUGCCAAACAAGUCAUGGCACUUUUAUCAUCUGCGUGAAACUUGCAAGACAGCAAAUGUGCUGAACGGUGUGAGACAAAGUGUCUUUUGCUCAUCCUGGUAAUGCCAGCACGCCUGCAGACCGUGCCCACAUCUGUACAGAGCAGGCACUUCUUGCUGCUUGGAGUUAGGUGAAAGGAAAGGGAAAAGAUGUGUGUUGCCUCUGGUUUGGCUUUUUUUUUUCCCUCCCUGCAGUGCAAGCCCUUGCUAUCAACAGGACCAGAUUCAGCCAUCAGUUAUUACUUGAACAAUUCCUACUGACCAGGAUCGAUCAAGAGGGGUUUUCUCACAUAUGCAGUCUGCAGGAAUCUUCCUCAGUAAGGUAAAGUUUUCCUUGCAAACAUACGCCUGAAGUUUCAUACGUAUAGUUUAAUCUGUGGUGGUUUGAGUUCUUUUUUCUUGUAAGUAUAGCAUGCAUUUACAUUUUGGAGCGAGUUUAAGCUGGCCGAAGCUGUUGGCAGUUGCCUACUUUUCAUAGGCUUUUACUCCGGUCGGUGGAAAAAACCUGUCUGGCUGCUGGAGAGCUCCCUCGUGUGGUGCAUUUUCCAUGAGCCCUGAGCGAGUAUUCCUGGCCAG